UGGGGAAUAUUGGGCAAUGGGCGCAAGCCUGACCCAGCAACGCCGCGUGAAGGAAGAAGGCUUUCGGGUUGUAAACUUCUUUUCUUGGGGACGAAGAAAGUGACGGUACCCAAGGAAUAAGCCACGGCUAACUACGUGCCAGCAGCCGCGGUAAUACGUAGGUGGCAAGCGUUAUCCGGAUUUAUUGGGUGUAAAGGGCGUGUAGGCGGGAUUGCAAGUCAGAUGUGAAAACCACGGGCUCAACCUGUGGCCUGCAUUUGAAACUGUAGUUCUUGAGUGCUGGAGAGGCAAUCGGAAUUCCGU
rnacentral:rRNA from 1 species